rnacentral:rRNA from 1 species
UACGGGAGGCAGCAGUGGGGAAUAUUGCACAAUGGGCGAAAGCCUGAUGCAGCGACGCCGCGUGAGCGAAGAAGUAUUUCGGUAUGUAAAGCUCUAUCAGCAGGGAAGAUAAUGACGGUACUUUAGGAGGAAGCUCCGGCUAACUACGUGCCAGCAGCCGCGGUAAU